rnacentral:rRNA from 1 species
AAACGGGGUCUAAUACCGGAUAACACUUACCUCCUCCUGGGGGUUGGUUAAAAGCUCCGGCGGUGAAGGAUGAGCCCGCGGCCUAUCAGCUUGUUGGUGGGGUAAUGGCCUACCAAGGCGACGACGGGUAGCCGGCCUGAGAGGGCGACCGGCCACACUGGGACUGAGACACGGCCCAGACUCCUACGGGAGGCAGCAGUGGGGAAUAUUGCACAAUGGGCGAAAGCCUGAUGCAGCGACGCCGCGUGAGGGAUGACGGCCUUCGGGUUGUAAACCUCUUUCAGCAGGGAAGAAGCGCAAGUGACGGUACCUGCAGAAGAAGCACCGGCUAACUACGUGCCAGCAGCCGCGGUAAUACGUANGGUGCGAGCGUUGUCCGGAAUUAUUGGGCGUAAAGAGCUCGUAGGCGGUCUGUCACGUCGGAUGUGAAAGCCCGGGGCUUAACCCCGGGGUCUGCAUUCGAUACGGGCAGACUAGAGUGUGGUA